UACAGAGGGGGCUAGCGUUGUUCGGAAUUACUGGGCGUAAAGCGUGUGUAGGCGGCCGCGCAAGUCGGAUGUGAAAGCCCUGGGCUCAACCCAGGAAGUGCACCCGAUACUGCAUGGCUCGAGUACUGGAGAGGUUGGUGGAAUUCUCGGUGUAGAGGUGAAAUUCGUAGAUAUCGAGAGGAACACCGGUGGCGAAGGCGGCCAACUGGACAGAUACUGACGCUGAGACACGAAAGCGUGGGGAGCAAACAGG
rnacentral:rRNA from 1 species